GAUGAACGCUGGCGGCGUGCCUAAUACAUGCAAGUCGAGCGAACAGACGAGGAGCUUGCUCCUCUGACGUUAGCGGCGGACGGGUGAGUAACACGUGGAUAACCUACCUAUAAGACUGGGAUAACUUCGGGAAACCGGAGCUAAUACCGGAUAAUAUAUUGAACCGCAUGGUUCAAUAGUGAAAGACGGUUUUGCUGUCACUUAUAGAUGGUUCCGCGCUGCAUUAGCUAGUUGGUAAGGUAACGGCUUACCAAGGCAACGAUGCGUAGCCGACCUGAGAGGGUGAUCAGCCACACUGGAACUGAGACACGGUCCAGACUCCUACGGGAGGCAGCAGUAGGGAAUCUUCCGCAAUGGGCGAAAGCCUGACGGAGCAACGCCGCGUGAGUGAUGAAGGUCUUCGGAUCGUAAAACUCUGUUAUUAGGGAAGAACAAAUGUGUAAGUAACUAUGCACGUCUUGACGGUACCUAAUCAAAAAGCCACGGCUAACUACGUG
rnacentral:rRNA from 1 species